AGGCUAUGUUGGCCGGGCGACGGUUGUCCCGGUUUAAGCGUGUAGGUGUGUGUUCCAGGUAAAUCCGGUUCACUUUAACACUGAGGCGUGACGACGAGGCACUACGGUGCUGAAGCAACAAAUGCCCUGCUUCCAGGAAAAGCCUCUAAGCAUCAGGUAACACGAAAUCGUACCCCAAACCGACACAGGUGGUCAGGUAGAGAAUACCAAGGCGCUUGAGAGAACUCGGGUGAAGGAACUAGGCAAAAUGGUGCCGUAACUUCGGGAGAAGGCACGCUGACACGUAGGUGAAGUGAUUUACUCAUGGAGCUGAAGUCAGUCGAAGAUACCAGCUGGCUGCAACUGUUUAUUAAAAACACAGCACUGUGCAAACACGAAAGUGGACGUAUACGGUGUGACGCCUGCCCGGUGCCGGAAGGUUAAUUGAUGGGGUCAGCGUAAGCGAAGCUCCUGAUCGAAGCCCCGGUAAACGGCGGCCGUAACUAUAACGGUCCUAAGGUAGCGAAAUUCCUUGUCGGGUAAGUUCCGACCUGCACGAAUGGCGUAAUGAUGGCCAGGCUGUCUCCACCCGAGACUCAGUGAAAUUGAACUCGCUGUGAAGAUGCAGUGUACCCGCGGCAAGACGGAAAGACCCCGUGAACCUUUACUAUAGCUUGACACUGAACAUUGAGCCUUGAUGUGUAGGAUAGGUGGGAGGCUUUGAAGUGUGGACGCCAGUCUGCAUGGAGCCGACCUUGAAAUACCACCCUUUAAUGUUUGAUGUUCUAACGUGGACCCGUAAUCCGGGUUGCGGACAGUGUCUGGUGGGUAGUUUGACUGGGGCGGUCUCCUCCUAAAGAGUAACGGAGGAGCACGAAGGUUGGCUAAUCCUGGUCGGACAUCAGGAGGUUAGUGCAAUGGCAUAAGCCAGCUUGACUGCGAGCGUGACGGCGCGAGCAGGUGCGAAAGCAGGUCAUAGUGAUCCGGUGGUUCUGAAUGGAAGGGCCAUCGCUCAACGGAUAAAAGGUACUCCGGGGAUAACAGGCUGAUACCGCCCAAGAGUUCAUAUCGACGGCGGUGUUUGGCACCUCGAUGUCGGCUCAUCACAUCCUGGGGCUGAAGUAGGUCCCAAGGGUAUGGCUGUUCGCCAUUUAAAGUGGUACGCGAGCUGGGUUUAGAACGUCGUGAGACAGUUCGGUCCCUAUCUGCCGUGGGCGCUGGAGAACUGAGGGGGGCUGCUCCUAGUACGAGAGGACCGGAGUGGACGCAUCACUGGUGUUCGGGUUGUCAUGCCAAUGGCACUGCCCGGUAGCUAAAUGCGGAAGAGAUAAGUGCUGAAAGCAUCUAAGCACGAAACUUGCCCCGA
rnacentral:rRNA from 1 species